rnacentral:tRNA from 1 species
UGGUUUCUUGGUUCUAGUUGGUCAUGGGCAUCUGCUUAACACGCAAUCGGCAGUUCGACCUGCCCAGAAA